rnacentral:rRNA from 1 species
CAGCAGCCACGGUAAAACAGAGGGUGCGAGCGUUAAUCGGAUUUACUGGGCGUAAAGCGUGCGUAGGCGGCUUUUUAAGUCGGAUGUGAAAUCCCUGAGCUUAACUUAGGAAUUGCAUUCGAUACUGGGAAGCUAGAGUAUGGGAGAGGAUGGUAGAAUUCCAGGUGUAGCGGUGAAAUGCGUAGAGAUCUGGAGGAAUACCGAUGGCGAAGGCAGCCAUCUGGCCUAAUACUGACGCUGAGGUACGAAAGCAUGGGGAGCAAACAGGAUUAGAUACCCCCGUAGUCCCUGUCUCUUAUAC